rnacentral:rRNA from 1 species
AAACCAGCACCUCAAGUGGUCAGGAUGAUUAUUGGGCCUAAAGCAUCCGUAGCCUGCUCUGUAAGUUUUCGGUUAGAUCUGUACGCUCAACGUACAGGCUGUCGGGAAUACUGCAGAGCUAGGGAGUGGGAGAGGUAGACGGUACUCGGGAGGAAGUGGUAAAAUGCUUUGAUCUCUCGAUGACCACCUGUGGCGAAGGCGGUCUACCAGAACACGUCCGACGGUGAGGGAUGAAAGCUGGGGGAGCAAACCGGAUUAGAAACCCGAGUAGUCC